UUUCCGUAGGUGAACCUGCGGAAGGAUCAUUACCAAAACUUAGCUGUCUGGCCGCAAGGCUCUGACGCUUCAACCCUUUGUGAACCAAAAAACCUUUCGCUUCGGCAGCCGCGCCGGUUGGGAACAGCCUGCGCUUCAGCCUGCCGUUAGCACCAAACAUCAAAACUUGCAGUCAAAAACAUUGUCUGAUACCAUAUUUUCGAAUGAAAAUCAAAACUUUCAACAACGGAUCUCUUGGUUCCC
rnacentral:misc_RNA from 1 species